GCCGUUGAGCUCGCUGUUGGGUCGCGGUUUGGCCAGCGACAGGUUGCUGCUGGAGGCCGAGUCGCUGGGCUCCAGCUGGGAGACAGACAGGCAGACAGACAGACAGGUGCAUAACCCCACCUUCAGACCUCUGACACUGUCAUCAGCAGGAGGUCGUGGCCACCAUCCCGUCUCCUCUGUGCUGACCUGUCGAUCGACCGUGACGUGUCGUAACGAUAACGACGUUCGUACCUCAGAGGCCUUCCUGCCCAGCAGCAGGGUAAAACAUGACAGUCCGCCGUGGGAAACUGGCUCUGCUGCUGUAACCAGGCAGAAUGUGUGAUCGCUCAUCCAUCUCCACACUCCCUCUCUUCUCUUCUUUCUCACUUUCACCCUCCCGCUCCCCCUCAACAC